rnacentral:rRNA from 1 species
UACGUAGGGCGCAAGCGUUGUCCGGAAUUAUUGGGCGUAACGAGCUCGUAGGCGGUCUGUUACGUCCGCUGUGAAAACCCAGGGCUUAACCCUGGGCUUGCAGUGGAUACGGGUAGACUAGAGGCAGGUAGGGGAGAAUGGAAUUCCCGGUGUAGCGGUGAAAUGCGCAGAUAUCGGGAGGAACACCGGUGGCGAAGGCGGUUCUCUGGGCCUGACCUGACGCUGAGGAGCGAAAGCGUGGGGAGCGAACAGG